UGCCUGGUCACACUCUGAGAAACUCUCACAGCUACGAAAGCUUGGCCUGGCCUUCCUUGAGGAAUGUCACUGAAGUUUGGGAUACUAGCCAUAAUUCUGGUAUUUGGGUAUUCCUUUAAUAAGAUAAAUGGGAACAAAAAUUUCUCCUUAACAACUAGUAUCGGUUGAAAAUAAAAAUGAAAUGUUUCUCAAUGCUAAGGUAAUGGUGGUUGGAUCAUGAUUGAUUGGUGGAGAGGCAAUGUGGAAUUGAAAGAAAGAGAAGCAGAACUGUCCUUUAAUCUGAACAAUUGAAAGGUAAAGGUCUCUGCAGAGAGAGUGGAGACUGUGGGUAUUAGCUCAGUGGCCUUGGGGAUUUCAUAGGGUGGAAGAGCGAACUUUGGGGAUGGAAGAUUCCAUCUGAGAUCAGUUCCCCUGCAGUUUCCAAGUGGUAAACGCCAAAGGAGGUUGGUCUGUUAUCUUAUAUCAGGAGCUCCCUGGAGCUCAGCAGCCAUGGGUGCCAUUAUCAGUCAAGUUUCCAGGCUGGACUCUCAGCCCACCUGAGGCUUUUCAUCCUUCCGUGGUAUCCUGGGGGUGGGGGUGGGGAUGCCAGAGAGGUAUUAGUGAAUUUCCCAGAAAGCGGGGAGUUUAUUGAGCAGUAAUGUAUUGACAUUUUUUCCUUAGUUGUGACAAACACACUACAGUAAAAUGUUAACGAGGGAGAAAAUGGAGGAGGAAAAUAAAGGCAUCCUCUAGAGCAACCUUCCUGACGCUGCGAUCCUUUAAUACAGUUCCUCAGGUUGUGGUGGAUCCCCCGCCCCUACAACCCUAAGAUGAUUUCGUUGCUACUUCGUAACUGUCAUUUUGUUACUGUUAUGAAUCGUAAUGAAAAUAUCUCGAGGCAACUCCGGGGAUCGUGACCCACAGGUUGAGAACUGCUGCAGUCCAGACCGUCUCUGUAAGAUCGUGAUAACACCGGUGAGCUAGCAGCUCAAUGGCCGCUGUGCUUCUGCUCUCCAGAGGGAGGUGGCUACUCUCCUUCGGCAGGGUCUUGCCCGGCAGCUCCAACAGCACGGCCACACCGUCCUGUUUUGUUUCUAAAGCCUCUUCCGUGGUCAGGCUCACUGAGCAUGCUCCGUCCGGUUCUUGUGCUCUGCCGGCCUCUGCGGCCCAGACAGUCACGUGCUGAGCGUUUAUCUCCUCUUCCUGUCCCUCAAAACUGGCCUCCCUUUGUCUUGGUUCUGCAAGACAAAAAGAGGGUCUUAAAACUUCGUCCUGUUAGAUUACCUCGGUCACAUCAAGUCCUGACGCCGGAACAAUUUGGAUCUGGCCUUGCGUGACUGGUUUCUCGUUCUGGAAGUCGGAGGCCUGGGAGAUCCAGAACAUGAAUGGUUCCUAUGGCGUGCAAGCCCUGCAGAGACUUGUCGGCCUCUUAUGCCAGCAUCCUAUUGCUUUUGAUCUUUCAUUUCUGUGGUAAUACAACUAACUUCCCAUGGAAGACCGUAAUGAGGGUACAGCCAGGAGGCUGGGGAGGCAACCCAGCAAACUUCUGUUAGAGACAAGGGAAGCCAGCUUGGAGUUGGGCAGUCAGGGUUAUUCAGAAAGUUCCCAGAGUUCUACUUCUGAGAUGUGGUCCUUCUUGUCUCAGUUCGUCUCCAUCCAAUAAAAGAACACCUUUUUAAUCUAUCUCAGGAGAGAGAAGGCUUGUGGCUUGUUCGGGUGUCGGAAAAGCAAAGGAUUAUUGGACAUACAUCUUGAAUCUGGCAUUGCCCAAUGGAGAAUUCAAAUUGGCAAUAAGAGAGAAACCUGAGCCAUCUUGUACAAGAGGGAAAUGUUAUUCAUCUCCUGAGUUUCUUCCUGGCAUCCUUCCACUGUGUGAAAUCAUCUCAUCUUAUAGCAUUGUUUCCUUUUAAUUCAAGGGUAGGCAUUUUCCCUCCAUUCUGUUUCCUUUUUAUUUCUUUAAAAGAAAUAAAAUAAGAUUUAAAAGAAAAUAAAUUGACAUAAAAUUGCACAUUU